UGACGAGCCUCUGGAGAGACUUCCACGAAGGAAGCGCCGAAGGAGCAAACCGGGAGAUCCCCUCCCCGGUCAAACUCUCAGGCAAAAGGACAGAGGAGAAAAG
rnacentral:ncRNA from 2 species